UACGUAGGGUGCAAGCGUUAAUCGGAAUUACUGGGCGUAAAGCGUGCGCAGGCGGUUAUGUAAGACAGAUGUGAAAUGCCCGGGCUUAACCUGGGAACUGCGUUUGAAACUGGAAGGCUUGAGUGUGGCAGAGGGGGGGUGGGAAUUCCACGUGUAGCAGUGAAAUGCGUAGAUAUGUGGAGGAACACCGAUGGGCGAAGGCAGCCCCCCUGGGCUAACACUGACGCUCAUGCACGAAAGCGUGGGGAGCAAACAGG
rnacentral:rRNA from 1 species